GCUUUCUGGGUCUUUGCCUAUUUGGAACCCUCAGAUUUCCUUGUCUACCUUCCGCUUUUGGCUUAUCUUCCUUUUCUGGGGCUUUCCUUCUAUUUGGGUUUGUGGUCUUUGCUCACAAAUUCUCAGAUUUCUUUGCUUCUUCCUCUCUUCACCUAAAGAGGCUUUCUGGGUAGCCUAUUGAGAUGGUGAGAGGAAAGACUCAAAUGAGGCGCAUAGAGAACGCCACAAGCAGGCAAGUCACCUUCUCCAAGCGGCGAAAUGGGUUGCUGAAGAAGGCCUUUGAGCUGUCGGUUCUUUGCGAUGCGGAGGUUGCCCUUAUCGUCUUCUCUCCUAGAGGGAAGCUCUAUGAAUUUGCAAACUCUAGCAUGCAGGAAACAAUUGAACGUUAUCGUAGGCAUGUGAAAGAUAAUCAAAUUGACGAGAAGAAAUCAGAUGAAAACAUGGAGCUACUGAAGACGGAAGCAGCGAACAUGGUGAAGAAGAUAGAGCUCCUUGAAAUUUCAAAAAGGAAACUACUGGGAGAAGGUUUGGAUUCCUGCACUGUUGAAGAAUUACAGCAAAUUGAACAACAGUUGGAGAGGAGCGUAAGCAGCAUCAGAGCAAGAAAGAAUCAGGUUUUCAAAGAACAAAUUGAGCGACUAAAAGAAAAGGAGAGCCAAUUGGCAGCUGAAAAUGCAAGGUUAUCUGAGAAGUGUGGUGUCCAACCAUGGGAAGGCUUGAAAGUGGUGGGAGAAACUCGAUACUGUGAAGAAAGUAGCCUAGUUUCAGAUGUGGAGACUGAACUGUUCAUUGGACUACCAGAAACAAGAACCAAGGGCCAUCCUCCAAGAAACUGAAUGAUGGUUGGCAAAACCAUGCCACUACUGAAUACAAAAGCAUUAGUAACAAGCAACAAUAAGGGCAACUGUAUGGUAAUGGUAAUAUAUGUUAUUUGUUGAAGAAACUUUGACAGGGACUUCAUUGACGUAAAGGUACAAGCUAGCUACUUGAAUUA
rnacentral:misc_RNA from 1 species